CCCAAAAUUCACGCAGUUCCCCCUUCGUUAUGGAGUUCGAACUUAUCCCUCUUCUUCGAGCCAACGCAUCGAACAACUCACCAGCGAACUCACUCGACUCGUUCAUUCCUGAUCCAUCAACGAAUCCACAACUCCGAUCGGCCAUUUAAGGCACGACUAGCACCGGAUUUGGUUCGGUCGAUUCUAUUGAAGCUUUUAGAGGAAGUCAUCCGUCUCAAUUCCUGCGAUACUUGCUUCAAUUUGAAUGACAAUUGAGAGCCUAGCGUCGGACGUUUCGUCUCCAGUCGGCUUGCUAGCAUUGCCGUCUCUGAAUCUCCUCCUUUGAUGUUCUGAACUGAGACUGUGUCGUCGCGAACAUCUAAGGCGACAGAUGGUCCUGUUAAUGGACCGCUGAAGCCGACUCGUUUGGAGCUCCCUAUGCUCUCUGUAUCUGACCAUGAAUCUGCAGAAAAAAUUGCAACUGAGGGAGUAUUACAAGCUAAGCCUAAGCUUGUAAAUGUUUUAUGAGCGUGGAAAACACUCUUGAGCUCUUAUACGACCUCGAAGUUGAAAGAAUCUUUAGACGAAGAAACCGAUCGAAUCGUUGUCGAAGGUUAAGGCAACAACCAAGAUAGUAACAACAAAGAGAACAACAAAUGGUGGAUGAUCAACUAACUAGAACUUAGCUCAACAAUUAGCCAACGCUGCCCUAAAUCCAAUCUUGAUGGUGAACAACAGUACACGUCCAAUGCAGGAGUAUGCGUCUCUAGUGCUGUAUGACUUUUCGCCAGGGAUCAUAUAUCCGACACUAGAUGGAACGAGAUUUAAGAUGAAGUCUGUAAUGCUUCAGAUGCUUCAAACUGCAGGUAUUUGUAUUUUUAAUUUUUUUAUGAGAAUUUUCUAGUUUUGUUUUAUAGCUAUAAGGGUACCUGGAACAUGAAUCAGGGUCAAUUUUGGCAAUUUUGAAUCAGGGUCAAGAGGUUUUUGGAGCAAUUUUGGCAAGUUUGAAUCAGGGUCAAGUCGAAGAGGAACAAGUGAUGCGUCCCGACCCAAUCGACUCAUCACUUGAAAUUGAUGAAGUGGAGCGUUAUGCGAUGAUGCUUGAAGCAGAGUUGGAAGAGGAAUAAGAGAGAGAAAGGGAAGUUGGCUCGGAUGCAUCACAACCUCACCAAUCUGAUGCAGAUGAAUGGUCAUCGAAAGGAAAGAGAGUGAUGAGGAAAAGAAAAUUAAUUUUGGAGGAUGAAAAAGAGCAAUUCACAUCUAGUCCGGAGGGUGCGCACAUGAGAGCUGCUUAAGGUCUAGAGUGUUGGAAAAGGAAUUGGAGCGGUACCAGCCUGCACGAUAGGGGCGAAGGAAGUUUGCCCUCCAAAAAGAGUGGGAAAAUGAAUUAAGGGAGUUAGCAUAGGAAGCCAAAGCACAUGAGGCGGGCAAACGCAAGGUAACUGCCGCGUUACCUAAAAAGACCAAAGGGAGGAAGCACCAAUUUAGUGACAUCCUUGCCGAGAAGGGCUUCUUCCUCGAACGCAACCCAUUUCCGCCAUAUAUAACCGAAACUGUGGACGCAAUGGGCUGGGGUCAGCUAUGUGUUGGGCACACGAGGAUU